rnacentral:rRNA from 1 species
GCAUCUUUUUAAUUUUUUAAGACCUUUUUCGAAGGUAUGCUUAAAGAGGGGCUUGCGACACAUAGAGGGGGGGUAGGGUAAAAGCCUACCAAGACUAUGAUGUGUAGCAGGACUGAGAGGUCGAACAGCCACAUUGGGACUGAGACACGGCCCAAACUCCUACGGGAGGCAGCAGUAGGGAAUUUUCGGCAAUGGAGGAAACUCUGACCGAGCAACGCCGCGUGAACGAUGAAGUAUUUCGGUAUGUAAAGUUCUUUUAUUGAAGAAGAAAAAAUAGUGGAAAAACUAUAUUGACGCUAUUCAAUGAAUAAGCCCCGGCAAACUAUGUGCCAGCAGCCGCGGUAAUACAUAGGGGGCAAGCGUUAUCCGGAAUUAUUGGGCGUAAAGGGUGCGUAGGCGGUUUAAUAAGUCUGUAGUUUAAUUUCAGUGCUUAACACUGUCCUGCUAUAGAAACUAUUAGACUAGAGUGAGAUAGAGGUAAGCGGAAUUCCAUGUGUAGCGGUAAAAUGCGUAAAUAUAUGGAGGAACACCAGAGGCGUAGGCGGCUUACUGGGUCUUUACUGACGCUGAGGCACGAAAGCGUGGGGAGCAAACAGGAUUAGAUACCCUGGUAGUCCACGCCGUAAACGAUGAGUACUAAGUGUCGGGGAAACUCGGUACUGAAGUUAACACAUUAAGUACUCCGCCUGAGUAGUACGUACGCAAGUAUUGAAACUUAAAGGAAUUGACGGGACUCCGCACAAGCCGGUGGGAUCAUGUUGUUUAUUCGAAGAAUACACGAAAAACCCUUACCAGGUUCUUGACAUACUCUGCAAGCUAUAAGCAUAUAGGGGAGGGUUAUCAGGGAUACAGGUGGUGGCAUGGGUUGUCGGCCAGCUCGCAGCAGUCGAGCACAGCACUCUACAAUCCAAUUCAGGAUUUUGCUCGCGUUGGGAAUAGCAAUCAAUGGUCGUACAAUACAUCCCCUGAAAUUGCUCUGACGGUUACUUUUUAACCUCCUUCCACGCAGUACUAAACUUUUAGUAGUACGGGGAAUACUAGACCCGAUGUUUGCACUAUGUUACCGACAAUGUUUCUCAUCAAAAAGGGGGAAGAAUAUCGGUUAGAGUUUUUUUGUCAGAGUCCCUCGGAGACGUUGAGCUGAAGUACUU